AAGGAAUAUUGGGCAAUGGAGGCAACUCUGACCCAGCCAUGCCGCGUGAAGGAUGACGGCCCUAUGGGUUGUAAACUUCUUUUAUACGGGAAUAAACCCGGGUACGUGUACCCGGCUGAAUGUACCGUAAGAAUAAGGAUCGGCUAACUCCGUGCCAGCAGCCGCGGUAAUACGGAGGAUCCAAGCGUUAUCCGGAUUCAUUGGGUUUAAAGGGUGCGUAGGCGGAUUUGUAAGUCAGCGGUGAAAUCCUACAGCUUAACUGUAGAACUGCCGUUGAUACUGCAAGUCUUGAGUACAUUUGAUGUGGGCGGAAUGUGUCAUGUAGCGGUGAAAUGCUUAGAUAUGACACGGAACACCGAUUGCGAAGGCAGCUCACAAAACUGUAACUGACGCUGAGGCACGACAGCGUGGGGAUCAAAC
rnacentral:rRNA from 1 species